UGGGGAAUAUUGCACAAUGGGCGCAAGCCUGAUGCAGCCAUGCCGCGUGUAUGAAGAAGGCCUUCGGGUUGUAAAGUACUUUCAGCGGGGAGGAAGGUGUUGAGGCUAAUAACCUCAGUAAUUGACGUUACCCGCAGAAGAAGCACCGGCUAACUCCGUGCCAGCAGCCGCGGUAAUACGGAGGGUGCAAGCGUUAAUCGGAAUUACUGGGCGUAAAGCGCACGCAGGCGGUCUGUCAAGUCGGAUGUGAAAUCCCCGGGCUCAACCUGGGAACUGCAUUCGAAACUGGCAGGCUAGAGUCUUGUAGAGGGGGGUAGAAUUCCAGGUGUAGCGGUGAAAUGCGUAGAGAUCUGGAGGAAUACCGGUGGCGAAGGCGGCCCCCUGGACAAAGACUGACGCUCAGGUGCGAAAGCGUGGGGAGCAAACA
rnacentral:rRNA from 1 species